GAUUUCUGGUAUGGUGCGCCUGGCCCACCGUCGAAAGGCGCGUGCGUGUCGGAGUGCGUCUGCCAUCUUUCUAGAAAACGGUUCUCUCUUCAUUGGGCGGACCGGGGUCUAGAUCUUUUACUUUGAAAAAAUUAGAGUGUUUAAAGCAGGCUUGCGCUAUGAAUAUAUUAGCAUGGAAUAAUAAUUUAGGACUUUGUUUCUAUUUUGUUGGUUUCUAGGAAUGAAGUAAUGAUUGAUAGGGAUAGUUGGGGGUGCUAGUAUUCAGCGGCCAGAGGUGAAAUUCUUGGAUUCGCUGAAGACUAACUUAUGCGAAAGCAUU
rnacentral:rRNA from 1 species